rnacentral:lncRNA from 1 species
AUUUAGGACAUGUUGAUGCUUAUUUUGAAUGACAUGUUAAAAAAGUUUUGCGUAAUGUUGAAUGCCUUUACUAUUAAUGAUAUUAUUAUUAUUAUGAGCCAAUCAAUGUACCAAAUGUACCAGGUUAUUGGAAUGUGAUUAGUGACUAAAUUUGGUUACUGAAUUAUUUACCAAGUAUUGUGACGAGCAGCCAUAAAUUUAGUGAUAGAAUUUUGGUUACUAAAAAUUGAUUCUGCUCAGUGAGUUGUGACAAAUUAGUGACGGUAACCUUGUCACUAGAUCAGUGACAGAAUUAAUAACAAAUUUAGUGACAAAAUUUGUGACCAUGUCUGUGACGACUAAAUUUGUCACUGAAGGUUGUGACAGAUCAGUGACCAAAUUUGUGACCGAAUUCUGUGACAAUCAGUGACCAAGUUACCUUCGUUACUAACUCAAUGACUGGUUAGUGACGGAAAAUACAUAAUUUUUUAAAUAUUUAAUUUUUGGAUUUG